UUAAGCGACUAAGCGUACACGGUGGAUGCCCUGGCAGUCAGAGGCGAUGAAGGACGUGCUAAUCUGCGAUAAGCGUCGGUAAGGUGAUAUGAACCGUUAUAACCGGCGAUUUCCGAAUGGGGAAACCCAGUGUGUUUCGACACACUAUCAUUAACUGAAUCCAUAGGUUAAUGAGGCGAACCGGGGGAACUGAAACAUCUAAGUACCCCGAGGAAAAGAAAUCAACCGAGAUUCCCCCAGUAGCGGCGAGCGAACGGGGAGCAGCCCAGAGUCUGAAUCAGUGUGUGUGUUAGUGGAAGCGUCUGGAAAGGCGCGCGAUACAGGGUGACAGCCCCGUACACAAAAAUGCACAUACUGUGAGCUCGAUGAGUAGGGCGGGACACGUGGUAUCCUGUCUGAAUAUGGGGGGACCAUCCUCCAAGGCUAAAUACUCCUGACUGACCGAUAGUGAACCAGUACCGUGAGGGAAAGGCGAAAAGAACCCCGGCGAGGGGAGUGAAAAAGAACCUGAAACUGUGUACGUACAAGCAGUGGGAGCCUCUUUUAUGGGGUGACUGCGUACCUUUUGUAUAAUGGGUCAGCGACUUAUAUUCUGUAGCAAGGUUAACCGAAUAGGGGAGCCGAAGGGAAACCGAGUCUUAACUGGGCGUUAAGUUGCAGGGUAUAGACCCGAAACCCGGUGAUCUAGCCAUGGGCAGGUUGAAGGUUGGGUAACACUAACUGGAGGACCGAACCGACUAAUGUUGAAAAAUUAGCGGAUGACUUGUGGCUGGGGGUGAAAGGCCAAUCAAACCGGGAGAUAGCUGGUUCUCCCCGAAAGCUAUUUAGGUAGCGCCUCGUGAAUUCAUCUCCGGGGGUAGAGCACUGUUUCGGCAAGGGGGUCAUCCCGACUUACCAACCCGAUGCAAACUGCGAAUACCGGAGAAUGUUAUCACGGGAGACACACGGCGGGUGCUAACGUCCGUCGUGAAGAGGGAAACAACCCAGACCGCCAGCUAAGGUCCCAAAGUCAUGGUUAAGUGGGAAACGAUGUGGGAAGGCCCAGACAGCCAGGAUGUUGGCUUAGAAGCAGCCAUCAUUUAAAGAAAGCGUAAUAGCUCACUGGUCGAGUCGGCCUGCGCGGAAGAUGUAACGGGGCUAAACCAUGCACCGAAGCUGCGGCAGCGACGCUUAUGCGUUGUUGGGUAGGGGAGCGUUCUGUAAGCCUGUGAAGGUGUGCUGUGAGGCAUGCUGGAGGUAUCAGAAGUGCGAAUGCUGACAUAAGUAACGAUAAAGCGGGUGAAAAGCCCGCUCGCCGGAAGACCAAGGGUUCCUGUCCAACGUUAAUCGGGGCAGGGUGAGUCGACCCCUAAGGCGAGGCCGAAAGGCGUAGUCGAUGGGAAACAGGUUAAUAUUCCUGUACUUGGUGUUACUGCGAAGGGGGGACGGAGAAGGCUAUGUUGGCCGGGCGACGGUUGUCCCGGUUUAAGCGUGUAGGCUGGUUUUCCAGGCAAAUCCGGAAAAUCAAGGCUGAGGCGUGAUGACGAGGCACUACGGUGCUGAAGCAACAAAUGCCCUGCUUCCAGGAAAAGCCUCUAAGCAUCAGGUAACAUCAAAUCGUACCCCAAACCGACACAGGUGGUCAGGUAGAGAAUACCAAGGCGCUUGAGAGAACUCGGGUGAAGGAACUAGGCAAAAUGGUGCCGUAACUUCGGGAGAAGGCACGCUGAUAUGUAGGUGAAGUCCCUCGCGGAUGGAGCUGAAAUCAGUCGAAGAUACCAGCUGGCUGCAACUGUUUAUUAAAAACACAGCACUGUGCAAACACGAAAGUGGACGUAUACGGUGUGACGCCUGCCCGGUGCCGGAAGGUUAAUUGAUGGGGUCAGCGCAAGCGAAGCUCUUGAUCGAAGCCCCGGUAAACGGCGGCCGUAACUAUAACGGUCCUAAGGUAGCGAAAUUCCUUGUCGGGUAAGUUCCGACCUGCACGAAUGGCGUAAUGAUGGCCAGGCUGUCUCCACCCGAGACUCAGUGAAAUUGAACUCGCUGUGAAGAUGCAGUGUACCCGCGGCAAGACGGAAAGACCCCGUGAACCUUUACUAUAGCUUGACACUGAACAUUGAGCCUUGAUGUGUAGGAUAGGUGGGAGGCUUUGAAGUGUGGACGCCAGUCUGCAUGGAGCCGACCUUGAAAUACCACCCUUUAAUGUUUGAUGUUCUAACGUUGACCCGUAAUCCGGGUUGCGGACAGUGUCUGGUGGGUAGUUUGACUGGGGCGGUCUCCUCCUAAAGAGUAACGGAGGAGCACGAAGGUUGGCUAAUCCUGGUCGGACAUCAGGAGGUUAGUGCAAUGGCAUAAGCCAGCUUGACUGCGAGCGUGACGGCGCGAGCAGGUGCGAAAGCAGGUCAUAGUGAUCCGGUGGUUCUGAAUGGAAGGGCCAUCGCUCAACGGAUAAAAGGUACUCCGGGGAUAACAGGCUGAUACCGCCCAAGAGUUCAUAUCGACGGCGGUGUUUGGCACCUCGAUGUCGGCUCAUCACAUCCUGGGGCUGAAGUAGGUCCCAAGGGUAUGGCUGUUCGCCAUUUAAAGUGGUACGCGAGCUGGGUUUAGAACGUCGUGAGACAGUUCGGUCCCUAUCUGCCGUGGGCGCUGGAGAACUGAGGGGGGCUGCUCCUAGUACGAGAGGACCGGAGUGGACGCAUCACUGGUGUUCGGGUUGUCAUGCCAAUGGCACUGCCCGGUAGCUAAAUGCGGAAGAGAUAAGUGCUGAAAGCAUCUAAGCACGAAACUUGCCCCGAGAUGAGUUCUCCCUGACCCUUUAAGGGUCCUGAAGGAACGUUGAAGACGACGACGUUGAUAGGCCGGGUGUGUAAGCGCAGCGAUGCGUUGAGCUAACCGGUACUAAUGAACCGUGAGGCUUAACCUU
rnacentral:rRNA from 1 species